AACGCGAAGAACCUUACCUGGGCUCGAAAUGUACAGGACAGCGGUAGAAAUACCGUCUCCCAGCAAUGGGUCUGUAUAUAGGUGCUGCAUGGCUGUCGUCAGCUCGUGUCGUGAGAUGUUGGGUUAAGUCCCGCAACGAGCGCAACCCUUAUCUCCAGUUGCUACCAUUUAGUUGAGCACUCUGGCGAAACCGCCUCGGGAGGUAACGGGAGGAGGG
rnacentral:rRNA from 1 species